UCCGUCACGGUGGCCUGUUGAGGCCCAAA
rnacentral:piRNA from 1 species